rnacentral:rRNA from 1 species
ACAGACCCAAAACAAUAAUAAUCGGCGUAAAGCACGACUAAAAUAACAGUUAGUUACUAGGAAGUAAAACUAAGCUGGGCUGUAAAAAGCCAUAAGCCACAAUAAACCACCUACAAACCAAACAUAUUCCACUCGUGAAAGUUAGGGCACAAACUAAGAUUAGAUACCUUACUAUGCCUAACUGUAACACAACAAUUAAAUAACCAAUUGUUCGCCAAAUAACUACGAGUAAAAACUUAAAAUUUAAAAGACUUGGCGGUACUUCAUAACAACCUAGAGGAGCCUGUCUAAUAACCGAUACUCCACGAUUAACCCAACCCCCCCUAGCCUAACAGUCUAUAUACCGCCGUCGCCAGCCUACCUUAUGAAAGAAACAAAGUAAGCCUAAUAGUCACCACACUAACACGACAGGUCGAGGUGUAACUCAUGGGGCGGGUAAGAUGGGCUACAUUUUCUAAUACAGAAAAUACGAAUAAACCAUGAAAAAGAAACUGAAGGCGGAUUUAGCAGUAAACUAAGAACAAACAUACUUAGUCGAAAAUAAAGCAAUGAAGUGCGUACACACCGCCCGUCAUCCCUGUCAACACUUAUCAAACAUAAAUAAUAAGAAUAACAACCCCUAA